CCUUCAAGAAAAGGGAGCACUUUACAAUGAGUGAGAAAAUUGAUUUCUAAAGUCAUUUUACUGAAGAAAAAUUCUCCUUUCCAUCCCCAUGUUCUGCUUGGGGAAAAUCUUGGCCCCAAAGAUGGAUGACAGAAGGACUGAUGAAAGUGAAACUUAAAAACAACUAUCCAAACACACAUUAACUAUGAAGAUGUUUGAAGGGUUUUCUUU
rnacentral:lncRNA from 1 species